CACGUAGGAGACAAGCGUUAUCCGGAUUUACUGGGUGUAAAGCGCGUGUAGGCGGCUCUGUAAGUUGGAUGUGAAAGCUCCUGGCUUAACUGGGAGAGGUCGUUCAAUACUGCAGGGCUUGAGGGUAACAGAGGGGAGUGGAAUUCCGAGUGUAGCGGUAAAAUGCAUAGAUAUUCGGAAGAACACCAGUGGCGAAAGCGGCUCUCUGGGUUACAACUGACGCUCAGACGCGAAAGCUAGGGGAG
rnacentral:rRNA from 1 species